GGUGGUGUAGCUCAGUGGUACAGUGUUUACCUACCAUGUAUGAGGCCCUGGGUUCAAUACCCAGCACCACAC
rnacentral:tRNA from 1 species